UCGCGAGAGCAAGCGGACCUCAUAAAGUAUGUCGUAGUCCGGAUUGGAGUCUGCAACUCGACUCCAUGAAGUCGGAAUCGCUAGUAAUCGUAGAUCAGAAUGCUACGGUGAAUACGUUCCCGGGCCUUGUACACACCGCCCGUCACACCAUGGGAGUGGGUUGCAAAAGAAGUAGGUAGCUUAACCUUCGGGAGGGCGCUUACCACUUUGUGAUUCAUGACUGGGGUGAAGUCGUAACAAGGUAACCGUAGGGGAACCUGCGGUUGGAUCACCUCCUUACCUUAAAGAA
rnacentral:rRNA from 1 species